CUAAGUUCCUGCCUCUAGGCUCCACCUUUUAAAGGUCCUAUGAUGGGGCUGGGGACCGGCCUUUGACACGUGGGCCUGUGGGGGCCAAGUAACAUUCAAACCAGGGCAGAGUCAGGUUUGUCAACUGGCAGGUGUCACCACUGAAGCUGUAGGCUUUCUGGCCAACAGCCCAGGAUCCGGCACUGUCAGGGACACAUGUGUGUGCGUUUCAUGGAGCCACAGUAGUGUGGACAGGGGAGGAAGCAGAACAAACUGAGUACGUGUGCGCCACGACCCAGAGGCAGUCCCCAUGUCUACUGACCCAGCCUUCUCUAAUACGAAGGUGAGUGAAGGUGGGUGAACCAAGGCUCAUACAGCACCCUAGGACCAGUACCUAGGACUCCUGCCCUUGACCUACUUCCUCCCCACCACCCACCCUGGCUGAGGGUAACUGAAGCCAGGCUCACCUGCGUACAGGUCCCUAAGGUCUGCACACCCCCAAUACCCAGGAACUCCAGGGCCUGGCCUACACCCUGUCAGCUCUCACUUCUCUAAGGCGGAGGAUUAAAAGCCUCCUGCUUUGUAGGCUCUCAGGUAGUACAGCAGACAUGACCUUUGUCAUUUGUUAUUUUUAGCAGAGUGAAGAACGAUACACACACACACACACACACACA
rnacentral:lncRNA from 1 species